rnacentral:rRNA from 2 species
GCAGUCGACGACUCUGGUAUUGAUUGGUGCUUGCAUCAUGAUUUACAUUUGAGUGAGUGGCGAACUGGUGAGUAACACGUGGGAAACCUGCCCAGAAGCGGGGGAUAACACCUGGAAACAGAUGCUAAUACCGCAUAACAACUUGGACCGCAUGGUCCGAGUUUGAAAGAUGGCUUCGGCUAUCACUUUUGGAUGGUCCCGCGGCGUAUUAGCUAGAUGGUGAGGUAACGGCUCACCAUGGCAAUGAUACGUAGCCGACCUGAGAGGGUAAUCGGCCACAUUGGGACUGAGACACGGCCCAAACUCCUACGGGAGGCAGCAGUAGGGAAUCUUCCACAAUGGACGAAAGUCUGAUGGAGCAACGCCGCGUGAGUGAAGAAGGGUUUCGGCUCGUAAAACUCUGUUGUUAAAGAAGAACAUAUCUGAGAGUAACUGUUCAGGUAUUGACGGUAUUUAACCAGAAAGCCACGGCUAACUACGUGCCAGCAGCCGCGGUAAUACGUAGGUGGCAAGCGUUGUCCGGAUUUAUUGGGCGUAAAGCGAGCGCAGGCGGUUUUUUAAGUCUGAUGUGAAAGCCUUCGGCUCAACCGAAGAAGUGCAUCGGAAACUGGGAAACUUGAGUGCAGAAGAGGACAGUGGAACUCCAUGUGUAGCGGUGAAAUGCGUAGAUAUAUGGAAGAACACCAGUGGCGAAAGCGGCUGUCUGGUCUGUAACUGACGCUGAGGCUCGAAAGUAUGGGUAGCAACAGGAUUAGAUACCCUGGUAGUCCAUACCGUAACGAUGAUGCUAGUGUUGGAGGGUUUCCGCCCUUCAGUGCUGCAGCUAACGCAUAAGCAUUCCGCCUGGGGGAGUA